AGAGUGCUCUACUUUCAAAAGAAAUCCAAGCAAUUGCUAAGGAAUUGAUGAUCCUAAUUCAGGGAGCAAGGUGCAGAUAUGGUCUGUCACAAAGAUGAGAGCAGCUACUUUUAUGACACCUUUUAAAAAUUAUUUCUUAAAGUUCUGUUAAACUGCUAAAUAAAAACACUUCUAUAUUUUCUGGUUUCUCUUCCCUUUCCCAGCAUUAAGCCUUCACUUUUUAGCCAAAAAAAAAAAAAAAAAAAAGUGUAGUUUGUUAAUGCCGUGCAAUUAAGUUCACCUUGUGUAGGAAGACUUACCUCAAAGCUUGAACUGGUGAUUGAGCACCUGGUGAAAGGCUGUGGCUGCCCAGGGAGCACCUGUGCUCCCCACCUGGCCAGAAGGGGUGGAACCAGGGGGAGCCAGCCUGGGCUCAAACAAGGGCUGGCUAGUGAAUGGAGAGCAUCUAGGCUGCUUUCUGAGAAGGAGUGCUGUGUAGCCAGAGAUCCCCUUUACCAGUUUGCCCAUAGCCUGUCAGAACAGAAUUGCUGUAUGUAACUGACUUAUGCAGAGUUUUUCUUUAGCCAAAUGAGGCUGUCACCUCAUAGACAAUAUUGUCGUGUAAAGGGCCAGAAACCCUCAUCACUGUAGC
rnacentral:lncRNA from 1 species